UGGCGGCGUGCUUAACACAUGCAAGUCGAACGAUGAACCUGGAGCUUGCUCUAGGGAAUUAGUGGCGAACGGGUGAGUAACACGUGAGUAACCUGCCCUUGACUCUGGGAUAACCUCCGGAAACGGAAGCUAAUACCGGAUAUGACGCACGGAGGCAUCUCCUGUGCGUGGAAAGAACUUCGGUCAAGGAUGGACUCGCGGCCUAUCAGGUAGUUGGUGAGGUAACGGCUCACCAAGCCUACGACGGGUAGCCGGCCUGAGAGGGUGACCGGCCACACUGGGACUGAGACACGGCCCAGACUCCUACGGGAGGCAGCAGUGGGGAAUAUUGCACAAUGGGCGCAAGCCUGAUGCAGCAACGCCGCGUGAGGGACGACGGCCUUCGGGUUGUAAACCUCUUUUAGUAGGGAAGAAGCGAAAGUGACGGUACCUGCAGAAAAAGCACCGGCUAACUACGUGCCAGCAGCCGCGGUAAUACGUAGGGUGCGAGCGUUGUCCGGAAUUAUUGGGCGUAAAGAGCUCGUAGGCGGUCUGUCGCGUCUGCUGUGAAAACCCGAGGCUCAACCUCGGGCCUGCAGUGGGUACGGGCAGACUAGAGUGCGGUAGGGGAGAAUGGAAUUCCUGGUGUAGCGGUGGAAUGCGCAGAUAUCAGGAGGAACACCGAUGGCGAAGGCAGUUCUCUGGGCCGUAACUGACGCUGAGGAGCGAAAGCGUGGGGAGCGAACAGGAUUAGAUACCCUGGUAGUCCACGCCGUAAACGUUGGGCGCUAGAUGUGGGGACCAUUCCACGGUUUCCGUGUCGCAGCUAACGCA
rnacentral:rRNA from 1 species